rnacentral:rRNA from 1 species
AUAGCAUUAUACCGUGGAACUGCGAAUGGCUCAUUAAAUCAGUUAUCGUUUAUUUGAUAGUACCUUACUACUUGGAUAACCGUGGUAAUUCUAGAGCUAAUACAUGCUAAAAACCCCGACUUCGGGAGGGGUGUAUUUAUUAGAUAAAAAACCAACGCCCUUCGGGGCUCCUUGGUGAAUCAUAAUAACUUAACGGAUCGCAUGGCCUUGCGCCGGCGACGGUUCAUUCAAAUUUCUGCCCUAUCAACUUUCGAUUGUAGGGUAUUGGCCUACAAUGGUAUCAACGGGUAACGGGGAAUUAGGGUUCGAUUCCGGAGAGGGAGCCUGAGAAACGGCUACCACAUCCAAGGAAGGCAGCAGGCGCGCAAAUUACCCAAUCCCGACACGGGGAGGUAGUGACAAUAAAUACUGAUACAGGGCUCUUUUGGGUCUUGUAAUUGGAAUGAGUACAAUUUAAAUCCCUUAACGAGGAACAAUUGGAGGGCAAGUCUGGUGCCAGCAGCCGCGGUAAUUCCAGCUCCAAUAGCGUAUAUUAAAGUUGUUGCAGUUAAAAAGCUCGUAGUUGAACCUUGGGCCUGGCUGGCCGGUCCGCCUCACCGCGUGCACUGGUCCGGCCGGGCCUUUCCUUCUGGAGAGCCGCAUGCCCUUCACUGGGCGUGUCGGGGAACCAGGACUUUUACUUUGAAAAAAUUAGAGUGUUCAAAGCAGGCCUUUGCUCGAAUACAUUAGCAUGGAAUAAUAGAAUAGGACGUGCGGUCCUAUUUUGUUGGUUUCUAGGACCGCCGUAAUGAUUAAUAGGGAUAGUCGGGGGCAUCAGUAUUCAAUUGUCAGAGGUGAAAUUCUUGGAUUUAUUGAAGACUAACUACUGCGAAAGCAUUUGCCAAGGAUGUUUUCAUUAAUCAGUGAACGAAAGUUAGGGGAUCGAAGACGAUCAGAUACCGUCGUAGUCUUAACCGUAAACUAUGCCGACUAGGGAUCGGGCGAUGUUAUUAUUUUGACUCGCUCGGCACCUUACGAGAAAUCAAAGUUU